rnacentral:lncRNA from 1 species
UAAUUAUCUUUGUUCUUCAAUAUUAUGAAUAUGACUUUGUUCUACUUCAAUAUAUUGCUUAUGACUUUGCUCUACUUGCUUAUAUUCAAGAUUAUAUUGUUCUUAGUUUAUCAUAGUUAUGUACUUGGCUUAGUUAGAUUGGAUCUAUAUACAUGCUUAGGAUCGUAUAGCGUUUAUCCAUCGGAUCCAUGGGUAAAUGAUAGAUAUUGUGUAGGCGUGGUGCUUAUACCGUAUUUAUCUGCGAUUGUACCCAAUAUGCCAGAUCGUGGGGGG